rnacentral:rRNA from 1 species
CAGUCGCCGCGGUAAUACAGAGGGUGCGAGCGUUAAUCGUAUUUACUGGGCGUAAAGCGUGCGUAGGCGGCUUCUUAAGUCGGAUGUGAAAUCCCUGAGCUUAACUUAGGAAUUGCAUUCGAUACUGGGAAGCUAGAGUAUGGGAGAGGAUGGUAGAAUUCCAGGUGUAGCGGUGAAAUGCGUAGAGAUCUGGAGGAAUACCGAUGGCGAAGGCAGCCAUCUGGCCUAAUACUGACGCUGAGGUACGAAAGCAUGUGGAGCAAACAGGAUUAGAUACCCGUGUAGUCCCUGUCUCUUAUAU